rnacentral:rRNA from 1 species
GACGUAGGGCGCGAGCGUUGUCCGGAUUAUUGGGCGUAAAGAGCUCGUAGGCGGCUUGUUGCGUCGACUGUGAAACCUGCGGCUCAACCGUGUGGUCUGCAGUCGAUACGGGCAGGCUGGAGUUCGGUAGGGGAGACUGGAAUUCCUGGUGUAGCGGUGGAAUGCGCAGAUAUCAGGAGGAACACCGAUGGCGAAGGCAGGUC